UACGUAGGAUGCGAGCGUUGUCCGGAAUUAUUGGGCGUAAAGAGAACGUAGGCGGUUUGUCGCGUCUGCUGUGAAAACCCGAGGCUCAACCUCGGGCCUGCAGUGGGUACGGGCAGACUAGAGUGCGGUAGGGGAGAUUGGAAUUCCUGGUGUAGCGGUGGAAUGCGCAGAUAUCAGGAGGAACACCAAUGGCGAAGGCAGGUCUCUGGGCCACUACUGACGCUGAGGCGCGAAAGCGUGGGGAGCGAACCGG
rnacentral:rRNA from 1 species